rnacentral:misc_RNA from 1 species
GUUCAUAUCAACAUUGUUAUCAAGCUUCAUUGUGUUCGAUCGCGCACCUGUUGCCUUCAAGCCCAUCUCCUGCAAACAUGGAUUUUGGUUAUGGCAUGCCUGAACCAGUUGGAAAAAUGAAACUUUGCUUGUAUGUUAUAUGCUGGCCGUGCAUUUUGCUCAUGGGCUCCAUGUUUUUACUCAGAAUGUUGUCUGCUGAGGUGCGAGGGUUCAAGAUUAGUCCAUGCAGUUUUAGGGAGCAGUGGGAAUUAGUGCUCUGGUGGGUGCUACACAAGUGCACAAUGAUUUUGUGUUGUGAAUUGUUUCAGGAGUCUGGUGCUAUGAGAGAUUUUAUAGAUUCAGGGGCGAUCACCGAGUAGUUGGUGCCUCCAUUAGAGGAAUACCAAUGGAUUUAAAGUUUUGUGUU